UCGAGAAUCAUUCGCAAUGGGCGAAAGCCUGACGAUGCGACGCCGUGUGAGCGAUGAAGGCCUUAGGGUCGUAAAGCUCUUUCGCUUGGGAACAAGAGAAGCCGGAUAACACCCGGAAGAUUUGAGUGUACCAGGUAAAGAAGCACCGGCUAACUCCGUGCCAGCAGCUGCGGUAAUACGGAGGGUGCAAGCAUUAAUCGGAUUUAUUGGGCGUAAAGGGCGCGUAGGCUGGUUUGAAAGUCAGAUGUGAAAUCCCGCGGCUCAACCGCGGAACAGCAUAUGAAACUAGAAGCCUAGAGGGUAGGCGGAGAAAACGGAAUUCCACAAGUAGCGGUGAAAUGCGUAGAUAUGUGGAAGAACACCGGUGGCGAAGGCGGUUUUCUAGCUUAAACCUGACGCUGAGGCGCGAAAGCAAGGGGAUCAAACAGGAUUAGAUACCCCCGUAGUCC
rnacentral:rRNA from 1 species